GCCCUUGGAAGGGGUGUAUUUAUUAGAUUAAAAACCAAUGCCCUUCGGGGCUCACUGGUGAUUCAUGAUAACUCCUCGAAUCGCAUGGCCUUGUGCCGGCGAUGGUUCAUUCAAAUUUCUUCCCUAUCAACUUUCGAUGUUUGGGUAUUGGCCAAACAUGGUUGUAACGGGUAACGGAGGGUUAGGGCUCGACCCCGGAGAAGGAGCCUGAGAAACGGCUACUACAUCCAAGGAAGGCAGCAGGCGCGCAAAUUACCCAAUCCCGACACGGGGAGGUAGUGACAAUAAAUACUGAUACAGGGCUCUUUUGGGUCUUGUAAUUGGAAUGAGUACAAUUUAAAUCCCUUAACGAGGAACAAUUGGAGGGCAAGUCUGGUGCCAGCAGCCGCGGUAAUUCCAGCUCCAAUAGCGUAUAUUAAAGUUGUUGUGGUUAAAAAGCUCGUAGUUGAACCUUGGGCCUGGCUGGCCGGUCCGCCUCACCGCGUGUACUGGUCCGGCCGGGCCUUUCCCUCUGUGGAACCCCAUGCCCUUCACUGGGUGUGGCGGGGAACCAGGACUUUUACAAGGGC
rnacentral:rRNA from 1 species